rnacentral:SRP_RNA from 1 species
GCGCAGGCUAGGCCGGGGGGCUAGGGGUCCCCUGUAACCGGAAACCCCCUAUACGCCGGGGCCGAAAACCAGAGGGAGGCACACCAGCAUGGGGAUGAUCCAUCCAUCGACGAUGAAGCCUCGUCCCUAGGGAUCGGGGGUGGUGGUAGCAUGUUGCCGGAGGGCAACAUGCCCACCUUUACCGCGAAAACCGGGUCAGGCCCGGAAGGGAGCAGCCUCAUCGCGGACUACCGAUGCUCUAGGGGUAGGCGGGGCUAAGAAGGUGGAUGGGGAAAUCAUCCUCAAGCUGGCUGUGUCCACCUCUGGCAUGCCUGCGC